rnacentral:rRNA from 1 species
AUUGAACGCUAGCGGGAUGCUUUACACAUGCAAGUCGAACGGCAGCGCGGACUUCGGUCUGGCGGCGAGUGGCGAACGGGUGAGUAAUUUAUCGGAACGUGCCCAGUAGCGGGGGAUAACUACGCGAAAGCGUAGCUAAUACCGCAUACGCCCUACGGGGAAAAGCAAUGUAUCGUAAUACCUUGCACUAUUUGAUCGACCGCUAUCUGAUUAUCUAGUUGGUGAGGUAACGGCUCACCAAGGCGCCGAUCCAGAGCUGGUUUGAUAGGACGACCAGCCACACUGGGACUGAGCACCGGCCCAGACCCCUACGGGAGGCAGCAGUGGGGAAUUUUGGACAAUGGGGGAAACCCUGAUCCAGACAUCCCGCGUGUGCGAUGAAGGCCUUCGGGUUGUAAAGCACUUUUGGCAGGAAAGAAACGUCGCGGGCUAAUAACCCGUGGAACUGACGGUACCUGCAGAAUAAGCACCGGCUAACUACGUG